CCCUUAGACGUUCUGGGCCGCACGCGCGCUACACUGACGAAGGCAACGAGCUUUCCUUUACCGAAAGGUACGGGUAAUCUUUUGAAACUUCGUCGUGCUGGGGAUAGAUCCUUGCAAUUUUUGAUCUUAAACGAGGAAUGCCUAGUAAGCGCAAGUCAUCAACUUGCGUUGAUUACGUCCCUGCCCUUUGUACACACUGCCCGUCGCUACUACCGAUUGAAUGGUUUAGUGAGGCCUUCGGAUCCGCGACUCGUUUGUGGAGAAGUUGGACAAACUCAGUCAUUUAGAGGAAGUAAAAGUCGUAACA
rnacentral:rRNA from 1 species